rnacentral:rRNA from 1 species
AAUCUGGGAGGACCAUCUCCUAAGGCUAAAUACUCUCUAGUGACCGAUAGUGAACCAGUACCGUGAGGGAAAGGUGAAAAGCACCCCGGAAGGGGAGUGAAAUAGAACCUGAAACCGUGUGCUUACAAGUAGUCAGAGCCCGUUAAUGGGUGAUGGCGUGCCUUUUGUAGAAUGAACCGGCGAGUUACGAUUUGAUGCAAGGUUAAGCAGUAAAUGUGGAGCCGUAGCGAAAGCGAGUCUGAAUAGGGCGUUUAGUAUUUGGUCGUAGACCCGAAACCAGGUGAUCUACCCUUGGUCAGGUUGAAGUUCAGGUAACACUGAAUGGAGGACCGAACCGACUUACGUUGAAAAGUGAGCGGAUGAACUGAGGGUAGCGGAGAAAUUCCAAUCGAACCUGGAGAUAGCUGGUUCUCUCCGAAAUAGCUUUAGGGCUAGCCUCAAGUGAUGAUUAUUGGAGGUAGAGCACUGUUUGGACGAGGGGCCCCUCUCGGGUUACCGAAUUCAGACAAACUCCGAAUGCCAAUUAAUUUAACUUGGGAGUCAGAACAUGGGUGAUAAGGUCCGUGUUCGAAAGGGAAACAGCCCAGACCACCAGCUAAGGUCCCAAAAUAUAUGUUAAGUGGAAAAGGAUGUGGCGUUGCCCAGACAACUAGGAUGUUGGCUUAGAAGCAGCCAUCAUUUAAAGAGUGCGUAAUAGCUCACUAGUCGAGUGACACUGCGCCGAAAAUGUACCGGGGCUAAACAUAUUACCGAAGCUGUGGAUUGUCCUUUGGACAAUGGUAGGAGAGCGUUCUAAGGGCGUUGAAGCAUGAUCGUAAGGACAUGUGGAGCGCUUAGAAGUGAGAAUGCCGGUGUGAGUAGCGAAAGACGGGUGAGAAUCCCGUCCACCGAUUGACUAAGGUUUCCAGAGGAAGGCUCGUCCGCUCUGGGUUAGUCGGGUCCUAAGCUGAGGCCGACAGGCGUAGGCGAUGGAUAACAGGUUGAUAUUCCUGUACCACCUAUAAUCGUUUUAAUCGAUGGGGGGACGCAGUAGGAUAGGCGAAGCGUGCGAUUGGAUUGCACGUCUAAGCAGUAAGGCUGAG